rnacentral:lncRNA from 10 species
CCUUUUUCAAAAUGUGGCGGUGGCAGGGAAGGUUGUCUGCUCCAGAGGCUUCCCUAGAGUGAAGAGCUCUACUAUGUAUGCUUUAUGCGGCAGAAGGAGUGCUUUGGAGGAGUUUUUAAAUUUGUUUUUUUUUUAAAUCUUAUCGGUUUUAAUUGUAGCAAUGAUUCAAGAAACGUUAGUAGGUGCCCAUAACUUCGGUGGUGGAGAUCCAAAAGUGAACAAGACAGUGUUCUGGCUGCUAAAUUCUUCUUAACUGGUUAUGCCUGGAGACCUUCACUUGGUUCUGUGCCAGCACUGCCCAUGAACUUCAUAGACUGUGAUCUUUGCUAAGGCCUAAAUGAAUGAAGGUAAGUUUCCUGAGGCCUUCCCAGAAGUAGAAGCCUGCACAGUCCACAGAACUGUGAGUCAAUUAAACCUUUUUUCUUUAUAAAUUACCCAGUCUUAGGUAGUUCUUUAUAACAGUAUGAGAACCAACUAAUACAGGCAGGAUGCAAAGUUUCAGGAGCCAGUGGGACAUCUGUUAGAGAUGUGUAUAAGGAGUUUAGAAAUUUCAACCAUGCUUCAGAGUUAACAUUUGAAAUAGAAAAGUAGCAGCCAAAGGUGUAAAUGUACUAACUAAAAGCUAGUAAAUAUUAAUAAAAGAGAGCCAAAAACUAAGCUGUGAGAUGUGCCCUCAUUUAGAAACCUGAAGAGGUGAAAAGAAGGGAAUAAAACAAGUAAGAAAGGGACAAAAAAGGAAGUGGGAACUUACAGUAAAAACUUGUCGUAGAAUCAAGGGAAUGCUUCUGAAGGAAGACGUGUCUAGCAGAGGCAAGCCCCGCUGAAUUGAGAGAGGAAAAGUAUUGAAACGAAGCUUUUGAGUUUGGUGACCAAGGUUUCACUGGUGACCUUUGACAAAACCUCAGUUACUUGAGUAGACUUAAAUGAAGUGAAAAGUCAUGAGCUUGAGGGAGAACUUAAAACUCAAAAUUACUGUAAGAACUUGAGUCUUCCAGGUCGACUUGUCAUCAGGUUCCUUGUUUUUGUUGUGGAUUUCCGCUUGCAGGAUAAAUUUUCCCCUGCAGUCUUCCCUUGGUGACCUCUUCAAUGUAAUCAGUUCAGUAUUUCUGCUAUACCUCCAUUACCCACAUCUGAGGCUCUGAAUUAGGUGGAGUUAAUUGGUUCAAUUGGAGAUUCACACCCAUGGCAACUUGUCAUCUCCUAACCUCUUGAUGGAGUAUACCAGCAAAUGAGAGAUGACUUGAACUAAUCUGACCCUU